GAUGAACGCUGGCGGCGUGCUUAACACAUGCAAGUCGAACGAUGAAGCCCAGCUUGCCGGGUGGAUUAGUGGCGAACGGGUGAGUAACACGUGAGUAACCUGCCCUUAGCUCUGGGAUAAGCCUGGGAAACUGGGUCUAAUACCGGAUAGGAGCGUCCACCGCAUGGUGGGUGAUGGAAAGAUUUAUCGGUUUUGGAUGGACUCGCGGCCUAUCAGCUUGUUGGUGAGGUAAUGGCUCACCAAGGCGACGACGGGUAGCCGGCCUGAGAGGGUGACCGGCCACACUGGGACUGAGACACGGCCCAGACUCCUACGGGAGGCAGCAGUGGGGAAUAUUGCACAAUGGGCGCAAGCCUGAUGCAGCGACGCCGCGUGAGGGAUGACGGCCUUCGGGUUGUAAACCUCUUUCAGUAGGGAAGAAGCGAAAGUGACGGUACCUGCAGAAGAAGCACCGGCUAACUACGUG
rnacentral:rRNA from 1 species